rnacentral:tRNA from 1 species
GGGAAGGUGGCUCAGUGGUAGAGCACUUGCCUUGCAUGCAUGAAGCCCUGGGUUCGAUUCCUCCGCACCA